UUUGCAAAUUAUAUCUAUUUAUAAUAUAUUUUUAUUUUAUAGUUUACAAUUAUUAUUAAGUAACGUACUGCCAAACCCGUCCCGCCAAACCCAUCCCGUAAAAAAACCAUUUAUUUAUAUUACUGUUGAUCUUAUUUAUGAUAUAUUUAUAAAUCAUUGUCUAUAUAUUUUUGUCGAUGCGGGACGUUGAACCCACACAUUUUUUGCCAAUUGGUUAAUAUAUGUUCAUUUUUAAAAUUUUGAAUCAUAAAAUAUGAUGGAAAAAAUUAAGAUUUUUUUAAACUCUAUAUAUUAUAUAAUGAUGUUAAAAAUUAUGAUAUAUCAAACUUUUUAUAAGUUUAAAUAUUAAUAAU
rnacentral:sRNA from 1 species